AUUGAACGCUGGCGGCAUGCCUUACACAUGCAAGUCGAACGGCAGCACGGGUGCUUGCACCUGGUGGCGAGUGGCGAACGGGUGAGUAAUACAUCGGAACGUACCUUAUUGUGGGGGGAUAACGCAGCGAAAGCUGUGCUAAUACCGCAUAAUCCCUAAGGGGGAAAGCGGGGGACCGUAAGGCCUCGCGCAAUUAGAGCGCCCGAUACCUGAUUAGCGAGUUGGUGAGGUAAAGGCUCACCAAGGCAACGAUCAGUAGCUGGUCUGAGAGGACGAUCAGCCACACUGGGACUGAGACACGGCCCAGACUCCUACGGGAGGCAGCAGUGGGGAAUUUUGGACAAUGGGGGCAACCCUGAUCCAGCAAUGCCGCGUGAGUGAAGAAGGCCUUCGGGUUGUAAAGCUCUUUUGUCAGGGAAGAAACAGCAGCUCUAACACAGUAUGCGAAUGACGGUACCUGAAGAAUAAGCACCGGCUAACUACGUGCCAGCCGCCGCCGUAA
rnacentral:rRNA from 1 species